UAAAAAUGAAUUACAAUAGAAGGAUGAAGCUACUAAUAUUUCUCAGCGUCAUUAUCUUUCAUUCCAACUCGAUUUUAUGAGCUCACAUGGUCCGAAAAUUACCUGGACAGCAGAAAGAAGAAUAAAUACAGCAGAGUCAACUCUUUCCAAAAUCAACAACAAAACAACUAAAUGGGUAGCAACAACAGCAAAAGACAGCGACAAUCGGCAGAUUCAAACCCAAGAAAACAAAAAAAAGCUCAUAAUUUUCAGCUGCUAAGGGAUAUUAUAGCUACUGAUUUUUCCUCUUUUUGUGUGUAGAGAGAUCUAAGUCAGAUGGAGUGUCCUCCUUCUUCUUUUUUAUAUAUGAGAAACAACCAGCUAUUUCAAGAUUAAAAAUCAAUCUUUUUGACAGAUUUUCCCACAAAAUCUGCUCUUAAAUUCAAAAGUAAGACUUUUUUUAGUUCAAAUCUUGUCAAAUAUUUCAAAUAAAAUCUGUUCUUCACUAUUCAAAGAUAGACUUUUGUUCAAAAACUGUCCAAAAGUCUAUAUUUUCUUACCAGACAAUUUGACUUUUGAGUGUUGUACUCAAAGAGUCUUGAAGUAGUAAAUAAACAAACAAACAAGUACCCUAUUCUGUCAAGUAUUCUUCACUACCUCACUUUUAUCAAUACAAAACUAUUUACUACUUCAACAAGUACAACAACAGAAAAUUUAACAUUUCAAACUUCAAAAACUAAUGGUAAAAUAAUUAAUAAUAGACAAAAAUAAAAUCUAAAAAAUAAAAAUAAAAUAAAAAAACCAUGAAAAAGAAUAGGAUUUUUACCAUUUUACAACUCAAGUGGCCGAAAAAUGGUGGUAUACCAAAAGAGAGUGUUCGGGGAGGUCGCCGGAAUUUGGCCAGAUUUUGGUAGCUGGAUUUUGGGGUAGAACUGACAUCAAUAGGUAGGUCUUGAGGAGCUCUAUCCAUUGAUGUAGGUAUUGUGGUGCGGUAGUGGCCGAAACAUCAAGAAUUUGGGCAAAAAAAAUGACGGAAAAAUUUCUUAGAUCUAAGAUUCAAGGAGUUUGAGGGUUUUUUGAAGGAUUUGGUUUGGAGAUAUGGAAAGAGGAGGUGUUGGAAAUUACAUGGUGAAAUUUUGAGAUGGUUUGGAGGUGGUCCGCCGCUGGUGGGCGAUUUCCGGCGGCGGUGGAGGGGCGGCGGUUAUGGAGAAAGAGAGAGUGAAGAUAGAGAGUAGAGAGAGAGGGAGGAGAAAAAAAUUAUGGGAGAAAUG
rnacentral:lncRNA from 1 species